CGCUUGAACAACAUUAAGAAUCUGUAGAGAAGUUACUGAUUCAACAAAACGUAUCAAAUGUCACAUGAUAAUUUGGCUUGAAUAACUUGCCUUGAAGGGGAAAGAUAAGUUCCAAGUCCAUAUAAUUUGCUGAUGGUUCAAGUUAGUUGCUGUGCAGUCUAGAACUUAAAUUGCAUAUUAUAUUACCUAAGAUAGGUGGCAUGCUGAUUCAUGGCCCAGAGGGAGGGAAUACUGAUCAGUGAUAGGAUGUGUAGCUCAUUUCAGACGGCAUUUCCAAGAGAGACGCUGGAGGAAGUGCGUCUGAAGGUGGCGUCCUCUCUGUCCACACUGCCGCUUGUGUUACGCCGGUCCUUAGGCGAGGGCCGCAGCGUACAGUGAAAACAGAAGGCAUAGAAAAAGGUCACCAGCAGCAGGAUGCACACCAUGCAGAAGAUGAUGUGACUGAAUAAGAUGAAUACCAUAAGAUGAAUAACUGAAUAGUACUCUGAGAGUUGGGAGAUUCAUGAGUACCCCUCCAAAUUAAAACAGGCAUGUAUCAGAAAUGUGCUUCCAUAUGAGGGUUUGUCUGUCUGUUUGUUUGUAUAUGUAUGUGUGUGUGUGUGUGUGUGUGUGUAUGUUUGUGCUGAUGUCACAGUCACAUUUCGAAUAAAGUGUCAAUUAUGUAUAAUAGCAAUUAUGUAUAUAAUCAACGGGCUACUGAUGGACAUGUUCCAUUUUGAUCAAAGUGUUACUGAUGUCAGUUACAUUUUGAUCAAAUGUUUGCUGAUGUUACAGUUGCAUCAGUGACCUUUUGAUCAAAAUGUAUCUGUGACAUCAGUGUCAUUGAUGUAACAGAUACAUUUUGAUCAAAGGGUUGCUGAUGUCUCAGAUAUAUUUUGAUCAAAGGGUCAUUGAGUUCACAGUUACAUUUUGAUCAAAGGGUCAUUGAUGUCACAGAUACAUCUUGAUCAAAGGGUCACUGAUGUCACAGAUAUAUCUUGAACUAAGUGUCGCUGAUGUCACAGAUACAUCUUGAACUAUGGAUUAUUGAUGUCACAGUUACAGUUUGUUUAAUGUGUCACUGAUUUCACAAUCUGAUUUUCAUCAAAGGGUUGCUGAUGUCAUAGUUACAUUUUGCUCAAAGGGUUGUUAUCAUAUUUUGGUCAGAGGGUUUCAGAAAUCUCAAUAAAAUUUUGGUCAAAGAGUUUCUGAUGUCACAGUUAUAAUUUGAUCAAAAUAUCGCUGAUGUAAAAG
ensembl:lncRNA